rnacentral:rRNA from 1 species
GCUCCCUCCGCGCCAUCAGACUCCUACGGGAGGCAGCAUGGGGAAUAUUGCGCAAUGGGCGAAAGCCUGACGCAGCAACGCCGCGUGGAGGAUGAAGGUCUUCGGAUUGUAAACUUCUGUCUAGUGAGAAGAAAGACUUGCUAAUAAAACGGGCAAGGGAUGACGGUAUCACUAAAGAAAGCACUGGCUAAUCUCGUGCCAGCCGCCGCGGUAAUAC